rnacentral:rRNA from 1 species
UCUAUACGGUGAAACUGCGAAUGGCUCAUUAAAUCAGUUAUCGUUUAUUUGAUAGUACCUUGCUACAUGGAUAACCGUGGUAAUUCUAGAGCUAAUACAUGCUAAAAACCCCGACUUCGGAAGGGGUGUAUUUAUUAGAUAAAAAACCAAUGCCCUUCGGGGCUCCUUGGUGAUUCAUAAUAACUUAACGAAUCGCAUGGCCUUGCGCCGGCGAUGGUUCAUUCAAAUUUCUGCCCUAUCAACUUUCGAUGGUAGGAUAGUGGCCUACCAUGGUUUCAACGGGUAACGGGGAAUUAGGGUUCUAUUCCGGAGAGGGAGCCUGAGAAACGGCUACCACAUCCAAGGAAGGCAGCAGGCGCGCAAAUUACCCAAUCCCGACACGGGGAGGUAGUGACAAUAAAUACUGAUACAGGGCUCUUUUGGGUCUUGUAAUUGGAAUGAGUACAAUUUAAAUCCCUUAACGAGGAACAAUUGGAGGGCAAGUCUGGUGCCAGCAGCCGCGGUAAUUCCAGCUCCAAUAGCGUAUAUUAAAGUUGUUGCAGUUAAAAAGCUCGUAGUUGAACCUUGGGCCUGGCUGGCCGGUCCGCCUCACCGCGUGCACUGGUCCGGCCGGGCCUUUCCUCCUGGGGAGCCGCAUGCCCUUCACUGGGUGUGUCGGGGAACCAGGACUUUUACUUUGAAAAAAUUAGAGUGUUCAAAGCAGGCCUAUGCUCGAAUACAUUAGCAUGGAAUAAUAGAAUAGGACGUGUGGUUCUAUUUUGUUGGUUUCUAGGACCGCCGUAAUGAUUAAUAGGGAUAGUCGGGGGCAUCAGUAUUCAAUUGUCAGAGGUGAAAUUCUUGG